rnacentral:lncRNA from 1 species
AGCUCCAAAAUAAUCUCCGACUCCAUGUCUCACAUUCAGAUCAUGCUGAUGCAAGGAGUGAGCUCCCAAGACUCCACCUCUGUGUCUCUGCAGGGUACAGGCCUUGCAGCUACUUUCACAGGCUGGUGUUAAGUGCCUGUGGCUUUUCCAGGCACAUGGUACAAGCUAUCAGUGAAUCUACCAUUCUGGGGUCUGGAGGAUGGUGGCCCUCUUCUCAGAGCUCCACUAGGCAGUGCCCUAGUGAGGACUCUGUGUUGGGGCUCCAACCCCACAUUUCCCCUCUGCAGUCCCUUAGUAGAAGUUCUCCAUGAGGGCUCCACCCCUGUGCAGAUUUCUGCCUGGACAUCCAGGCAUUUCUAUAAAUCCUCUGAAAUCUAGGAAUAGGCCCCCAAAACUCAACUCUCGCCUUCUGCACACCUACAGGCCCAAAACCAUGUGGAAGCUGCCAAGGCUUGGGGCUUGCACCCUCUGAAGCAGUGGCCUGAGCUAUACCUUGGCCCAUUUUAGCCAAGAUACAUUCUUUCACCAGAUACGCUAAAUCAUCUCCCUAAAGUUCAAAGUUUCACAGAUCUCUAGAGCAGAGGCAGAAUGCCACCAGUCUCUUUGCUAAAGCAUAGCAAAAGUGACCGUUGCUCCAGUUCCCAAUAAGUUCCUCAUCUCCAUCUAAGACCUCCUCAGCUGGGACUUCACUGUCCACAUCACUAUCAGCAUUUUGAUCACAAGCAUUCAACAAGUCUCUAGGAAGUUCCAAACUUCCCCUCAUUUUCCCAUCUUCUUCUGAUCCCUCCAAACUGUUCCAACCUCUGCCCAUUACCCAAUUCCAAAGUUGCUUCAACAUUUUCAGAGAUCUUUAUAGCAAUGCCCCACUUACCUGGUACCAAUUCUCUGUAUUAAUCCAUUCUGACACUGCAAAAAAAAAAAAAAAAAAAAAAAAACUACAUGAGACUGAGUAAUUUGUGAAGAAAAGAUGUUUAAUCUUCCUGUACAGCAGUUCCACAGCUAUACAGAAAAGAUGGCUGGGGAGGCCUCAGAAAACUUACAAUCAUGGCAGAAGUGUGAAGGGGAAGCAAGCACCUUCUUCACAUGGUGGAGUGGGAGAGAGAGAGUGAAAGGGGAAGUGGUAUGCAAUUAUAAACAACCAGUUCUCAUGAGACUCACUCACUGUCAUGAGAACAGCAAGGGAGAAAUCCACCUCCAUGACCAAUCCCCACCAGGCCACCCCACACUGCAACAUUAAGGAUUACAGCUCAACAUGAGAUUUGGGUGGAGAAAAAGAGCCAAACCAUAUCACCCAGCUGCUGGAGAUAUUUUUCCCAAAAGAAAGCAGGUAGACUGUCUAUUUCAGUCUUAGAUGCUUCACAUCAUUCUCCUACUAGAAGACCUAAGCUGACACUGCUGGUUGUGGCAAAGGAUAAUGUGAAACAUACUCUAUUCAUUGACAGAAGAAGAACCUGGGGCACCCACUAAUUUUAGAAGUCUCAGGGAAUCAAAUCUUUCAGCUGUUGACAUAUUUGAUCAUAUACUGUAUCCAAGAUCUUCCAGGGCUUUCCUCAGAAAUAUUACGUUUAUUCAGUUACAUCUUUCUUAAAGAUGGUGGAGGACAUUGUAUUUUCUGCCCAAGGCCCCAUUGCCCUGGUGAUCAGCAAUUCCAUGUACUACCGCCCCUUUGAUUUAUUGAUUUACUCCAGGAAUAACUGGGCUACUGCUGUCUGCUUCUGCUUUUUCUUUCUUAGUGUCCUGCCUUUCUGCCCUCCAACCAUUCUGGGGCAAUAAGAAAGGGUUAGUCUUUAAUCUGCCUCCUUUAGGAUCCAUCAGGAUAAAUUUCCCUUUUUCCCUCAAUAGCCGAAUGUUCCUAAUAAGUCUUUGACUCUUUUACCAUCAUGUACCAGGCUUAACAUUAGUGCACUCUGACAGAGGAGUGCUGUGUUAGCCUUGUUUCCUCUCCUCUCACAUAAGCUAUUUAAUCAUUUUUACUAUCCAGCUCACAUGCAAAAAAUGUCUCAGACCUAGAUCAAAGAAAUCAGAGAUGAAUUCAAAGACACAAGACUCAUAGAUAUUUUCUUAAUUACUCAACAGUGAUACCUACCAAAUUAUACAUCUGAGCAAGUUUCCCUGCUAUUCUUCAAUAGAAUUCACUCAAGACAGUGGUAAUACUCAGCAACCUCAUAUGGGGUGAGAAGUACACUACAUCUGAGAAUCCCUGAACAAUCAAAUCUUCUCCUUUUUAUUUUUAUUUAUUUU